rnacentral:misc_RNA from 1 species
GAUGAAGAAGGUAGCGAAAUGCGAUAAGUAGUGUGAAUUGCAGAAUUCAGUGAAUCAUCGAAUCUUUGAACGCACAUUGCGCCCCUUGGUAUCCCGAGGGGCAUGCCUGUUCGAGCGUCAUUUCACCACUCAAGCCUGGCUUGGUGUUGGGCGACGUCCCCUUUGGGGACGCGCCUCGAAACGCUCGGCGGCGUGGCACCGGCUUUAAGCGUAGCAGAAUCUUUCGCUUUGGAAGUCGGGGCCCCGUCUGCCGGAAGACCUACUCGCAAGGUUGACCUCGGAUCAGGCAGGGAUACCCGCUGAACUUAAGCAUAUCAAUAAGCGGAGGA